rnacentral:rRNA from 1 species
AUUGAACGCUGGCGGCAGGCUUAACACAUGCAAGUCGAGCGGGGUGAUGGUGCUUGCACUAUCACUUAGCGGCGGACGGGUGAGUAAUGCUUAGGAAUCUGCCUAUUAGUGGGGGACAACAUCUCGAAAGGGAUGCUAAUACCGCAUACGUCCUACGGGAGAAAGCAGGGGAUCACUUGUGACCUUGCGCUAAUAGAUGAGCCUAAGUCGGAUUAGCGAGUUGGUGGGGUAAAGGCCUACCAAGGCGACGAUCUGUAGCGGGUCUGAGAGGAGGAUCCGGCACACUGGGACUGAGAAACGGCCCAGACUCCUACGGGAGGCAGCAGUGGGGAAUAUUGGACAAUGGGGGGAACCCUGAUCCAGCCAUGCCGGGUGUGUGAAGAAGGCCUUAUGGUUGUAAAGCACUUUAAGCGAGGAGGAGGCUACUUUAGUUAAUACCUAGAGAUAGUGGACGUUACUCGCAGAAUAAGCACCGGCUAACUCUGUGCCAGCAGCCGCCGUAA